rnacentral:rRNA from 1 species
AACCUCCGCAAUGUGAGAAAUCGCGACGGGGGGAUCCCAAGUGCCAUUCUUAACGGGAUGGCUUUUCAUUAGUGUAAAGAGCUUUUGGAAUAAGAGCUGGGCAAGACCGGUGCCAGCCGCCGCGGUAACACCGGCAGCUCUAGUGGUAGCAAUUUUUAUUGGGCCUAAAGCGUCCGUAGCCGGUUUAAUAAGUCUCUGGUGAAAUCCUGUAGCUUAACUGUGGGAAUUGCUGGAGAUACUAUUAGACUUGAGACCGGGAGAGGUUAGAGGUACUCCCAGGGUAGAGGUGAAAUUCUGUAAUCCUGGGAGGACCGCCUGUUGCGAAGGCGUCUAACUGGAACGGUUCUGACGGUGAGGGACGAAAGUUAGGGGCGCGAACCGGAUUAGAUACCCGGGUAGUCCUAACCGUAAACGAUGCGGACUUGGUGUUGGGGUGGCUUUGAGCUGCUCCAGUGCCGAAGGGAAGCUGUUAAGUCCGCCGCCUGGGAAGUACGGUCGCAAGACUGAAACUUAAGGAAGUU